rnacentral:lncRNA from 1 species
GGGUGCGGAGCCCGGCGGGCUAGGCGAGGCGCGGGCUGGCCCCGCCCCUCAGGCCGGCGAGUCCCCUUCUCAGAGACUUGGCUAGGCGCGGCGCGAGGCGGGCGCUGGGCGGCGCCAGCAGCCCUGUGGUGGCGACGACGAUGGACCAGGAGCCAGUGGGCGGUGUGGAACGAGGAGAAGCCGUCGCAGCCUCGGGAGCUGCGGCCGCCGCGGCAUUCGGGGAAUCUGCAGGGCAGAAUCUCACUCUGUUGCCCAGGCUGAAGUUCAUGGCGCGAUCUCGGCUCGCUGCAACCUCCACCUCCCGGGUUCAAGCAAUUCUCCUGCCUCAGCCUCCUGUGUAGCUGGGAUUAUAGGCACGCUCCACCGCGCCUGGCUAAUUUUUGUAUUUUUUUAGUAGAGGUGGGAUUUCACCAUGUUAGCCAGGGUGGUCUCACACCCUUGACCUCAAGUUGUCUGCCCGCCUCAGUCUCCCAAAGUGCUGGGGUUACAAGCAUGAGCCACCAUGCCCAGCCACAGUGUAAAUUUUAUUUGUAAUUAUUGGAUUUCUGGUUCAAGUUGAUGUUUGAAAAAUAAAAAAAGAAAAAUAUUUUAAAAAU